rnacentral:lncRNA from 1 species
GUUAUGAAAGUAUAUGUAAAGGCUUACUAUUUUGCUGAUUUUUGAAGUGGAUAUUUAAGUGAUGCUAAAUACAUUCAUGUUGUAUAAACAUCAUCACUAUCCAUCUCCAGAACUUUAAAAAUUAAUUAAACUAUAACUGUACCUGUUAAAUAAAAACUUAUUGGUUGUGGCUUCCCUCAGUCCCUGGUAACUACCAUUCUGUCUCUGUUUAUGUGAUUACUCUAAGUAUCUCAUCUAAGUGGAAUCAUCCAAUAUGUGUCCUUUUUUUCUUCAUUGGCUUAUUUCAUUUAACAUAGCAUCCUCAAAAUUCAUCUGUGUUGUCACGUGUUAGAAUUUCCUUUCUUUUUUAGGUUGGUUAAUAUUUCAUUGAAUGUAAAUGGGUGCUUGAAACCUUUGUGGAAAAUGGAAUUAAAGGAUAAGUUCAGGGGGCUGGAACAUGUAACCAUGGAAAGUACCUUCUUUUGCUGGCAGGGAAACAAAAUCAUCAAGAUGCUGGUUUACAACUGAGAGCUUGAAGGACGGUAGGAAUGUUCAUAUUCUGAGCAAUCCCCUGGGUAACUAUGAAUAAAUUGGAUAUACAGACAGCCA